AUGUACAAGCUCAACACAUGGUGUUCUCUUCUUGAUUCCUGCUGGAAAGCAAGCCAUGCGUCAGCGUACGGCAACGAUUCGGGUGCCUGCGGCAUGAUGGCGCCGCAGAAGCAUGCAGCGUUCUUCGACGGCAAACAAGGAUGCAUUUGUUUUCCACUCAGUUUCUUUUUGUUCCCUAUGCUUUUUCUCAGAGAGAUUUCUCUAACAUUUUGGGCCCUCGGAUUUGGAUUUGCUGCAGCCUCCACAAUGAGUGCCACCUUCAUCAAUGGCGUCCUUGGCCCCCAGAAAAAACCGGCUAGCUACCUAAGCCAUAAAGUUGUUGCGUUGAAAAUUACAGCAUGCGUGUUUGAGAGAAAGGGAUGGGCUAUAACAAGAGAAACCUCCAUUGCUGAAAAUCUUUUAAAGAGAUCGAGGAUAAAUUUUUUUCCAAAUGAGAAGGAUGACAUAGCGAAUGAGGAUUCCGACAUGGUAGCUCCCACAAUCGCGCAGUUGGAGAGCAUGCACGAGUUCGAUCUUUUGCAUAUCAGACUCUCCUUGCUGACAUCUGAUGAAGUUGUGGUCCAGGAGAAGAAUGAAUAUUUUAUAGCUCUAGCUUCCCCCUUCAGAUAG
rnacentral:rRNA from 1 species